AUAGAUCAAACGGGGAGCUUGCGUACCAAGCAGGCUGAGAGGAGAAUGAAUGUCUCGACCCGACACCUGAUUUGGGUAAUGCCAACGUAGGGAACAUACAGAACCUCAGCG
rnacentral:ncRNA from 1 species